CCUAAAGGCGCAAUGAAAGUGAAGGUCGGCCUUGCGCCGACCGAGGGAGGAUGGGCCGCGUCACGAUGCGGUCCCGCACUCCCGGGGCGUCUCGUUCUCAUUGCGAGAAGAGGCGCACCCAGAGCGUACACGUUGGGACCCGAAAGAUGGUGAACUAUGCCUGGUCAGGACGAAGUCAGGGGAAACCCUGAUGGAGGUCCGUAGCGAUUCUGACGUGCAAAUCGAUCGUCGGAACUGGGUAUAGGGGCGAAAGACUAAUCGAACCAUCUAGUAGCUGGUUCCCUCCGAAGUUUCCCUCAGGAUAGCUGGCACUCGCUCUUAUGCGAGUCUCAUCUGGUAAAGCGAAUGAUUAGAGGCCUUGGGGCCGAAACGACCUCAACCUAUUCUCAAACUUUAAAUGGGUGAGAUCUCUGGCUUGCUUGAACGGUGAAGCCACGAGAUUUCGGAUCAGAGUGCCAAGUGG
rnacentral:rRNA from 1 species